GGCUAAACACAAUGCUUGUGCGUGUUGGGCAGUAUGAAAUAAAUCAAUACUGAAGUCUACCGUUAAUGCCACUUCAGCGCCUGAACUUUUAAAGCUGAAUUAGAAGAAUAGAUCCAAGUGUCUCUGGAGGGGGCACAUCUUUGUGUUUACGUAUUUUUAAUGAGUUGAGGAAGUACAGGAAGAUGGUUCUCCCUCUAAGUACAAAGAAAGGUUUGCUACUGGCUCUGUGAGUGUGUUAGGACCCUGCUGACGUAACUCAGCUCUGUACUUUGCCACCUGCUGCUGACAGGCAAACUAAUAACAUUUCAUUUAAUUUCAUCAUGUCAUUAUCCAUUCUGAGUCAUUGUGUUGACGUUGGUUUGUUUCGUGAGCGGCGAGUUGCGCGCACGCACGCAGGGGACACGGUCGCGUGGCAUUGAAGCUGUGGUGGCAGCUGACUGGAGCGGGUAACUUAAAGCUAACAAGCGAUGGCGCUCAGUCCCUCAUCUUUCCAUCUUAAUUGUCACUAUUACUUUUAGAAGAGAAGACAAAAGGCACUGAGAUUAAUGCAAUAGACAAACAGAAGGACACGUUUAUACAAAAAAUAUCUAUCCACUAUCCAGCUUCUUGGAACAAGUAAAAACUAGUUUCAUUGUUCCUGAUCUUGGGAGACGUACACUGUUACACACGUCCUCUUCAACACAAGAGUACUUUUCCAUCACCUUUACAUCCUUCAGAAUAUUAUAACUAAUUGCUCCUUUGAGGGAACUGGGCCAUGUCAGAGAGAAGAGACCCUUUUUCGAACGUAUUCCCUCCUUAUAAUAAUUCUUAAUACACAAUUACAGGUCAGAAUGGGUAUGUGUGUGUGUGUGUGUGUGUGUACUAACCGUAUUGAUGUCUGUAUCUGUGUCCCAGAAAGGCAUGACUGUUGAAUCUGUCUUUUAAUGAAUUUAAUAGUUCCAUCAUUUUUCCUUUAACCAUGAACACUGGUGUUCCUCACACACACACACACACACACACACACACACACACACACACACACACACACACACACACACACACACACACACACACAGAGAGAUUCUACGUUGGUGUUCCUUAUUAUUUACUUCAAUUGGAGAAAGAUGCCAACUGGAAAAGUGACAAAGCAGAUGUGCGCAUUGAAUUGUUUACCAGCGUGUAUUCCUCUUUCUUUGAGGAAUUUGUUAAGUAAUCUGGCUGUAGAAUUGAAUCAAGUCGUCAAACGAGGAUUAGGUUAUGGGGUUGUUUAAGUACGGUCAAUUAGCGUUACUGCCGCAACAUAUGUGAGAGGAAAACAGUGAAGGCCGACAACCAUGCAGAGGGAGAAAGAGAUAAACAAGUGAACAAAGAGGAGAAAAGAAGGAAGAAACCUUUAUCAAGAUCUCCCAGCUGAAACGUCCAAUCCUGACCUUUGACCCGCCAAAUGCAGACCACUGAUGAAACUACUUUUCUGGAGGACAGCUGCGUACGAAGAAGCAGCAGCAGCGUGUUGGGCAGCGACGUUUCCAUCCAAAACGUACAAACAGAGAAUCUAAGACAGCAAGGAGAAAAAGAGAAGCAGACAAGGGGAACGGGGGGAAGAACCAAAGUGAAACAGUCAUCAAGGCUUCAAAGCAUCCUUGUAUACGAGUUGUUUAGAAUGUAAAAUCGGGAGUCCAGAUCCACCAAAACAAAAGAUGAAACGAUACUUUAAUUCGAUAAUCGUUACAAGGUUUAGCAGAGGGAAAAUAUUUCUGAAUGCGUUUAUGUUUAUGUGAUAGCUAAAGUGAAAUGAGCGUGAAGCAUGAUAAGAUGUUUGAUUUUGGUUUAAAUGGAUUUUUGUAUGUUUCUUGUUUUUUUUUUUUUCUGUUUGUGGUGGGCAUCUGGAUGUGUGUGUGUGUGUGUGUGUGUGUGUGUGUGUGUGAAUGAAAAGAGCCACUGUCUGCAGCACUGUUUGUGUACUUCACCAGUAUUUACAGUUCAUCCAAUCUGAUCUUUGGGCAUUUCGGAGAGUGCACAUGUUGACGUUUCUUGUCUUCACUGGUGUAAACUUUAUGUUACAUUUAAUCUAGAAUCUGCUUUUUUCAAAAACUGGGAUUGGCUUAAAUUGUGGAAUUAGACUCAUUAAAGCCUUUGGUAACUUCCAGGAGACCAAAAAAGGAGCUUAACAAAGGGCAUAUACUAGUGUCCCACUCACCGGGUAGUAAACAAGAUUCCACUUUGCUUGAUGUCUAAAUAUGCAACUGUUGACUAACUCAACUCAGUUCUGCACUGAGAUGUCCUAAGAGGAAAAUGACUGCAAGUUUGAAUCAAAUCCUGCAGCCACAGAGAUAAAAGCCCUCAUGUCAAUAAACACCCACCACGAUGCUCAUUUCCUUUGAGGAAAAGUUGUGUUUAUGAUUCGUAUCUCUAAAAAAAAAAAAACCCACACAAGACAUCAUUCGAAAAGAUCAAAUAACUCAUUCAAUCACAUUCAAAACUAUUCUCAGCUACUGUAACAAUGCUGUUUAUGAACUUGUGUUCCUGGAGACGCCCACACAGCAUUGAUGCGCCCAACUCAGCAUGCGGGCAGCUUUCAUGGUAUAUUUUUAGGUUCUUGCCAAAGCAUUCAAAACAAAACUGUGACGUGCAUAAGAUAAGUCGAGAUUUGUGAAUUAUUAUUAUGCAUUUAAAUUAUUAUUACAAUCGAGGCUGGGUGUUAUUUCUUCUUCUAUCUGUCUCAAAGGAUUCAUCUCCUCGUCACUUUGCAUGCAAGUUAAUCACCGGGCCAAUCUCCCAAAUGACCCGGUGUGUGUUGAAUUAGUGCACAGCUGCGAGCGCCUGGUUGAUAAAUAAACUGAUAAAUGCGGCCCAUACAUCUUCGUUUACAUGGAAAUGUCUGUUUUGACAAACUGCGCAUCAAAAUAUCCCGAGGCCAUUCAAUGUUACACAAAGUAAGAGGGCAGGGGCAGCGCUUCCAUUCUUGGAGUUAAUCACAUGGUGGUGGGGCCGAAUGGGACCGAGGGGAGAGCAAAGAUGGAAAGACCAAGUGAAGGAGACAGAGGUGGGGGUGAAUAAAAGAAAAAAAAAAAAAAAAGUGAAGCAAAGUUGAGGAAGUUCCCGUUCUCCCAGCCGACCCCUUUGGACUUGGACUCUGCCUUAUACCUGGCGGCAGGGAUUACUAAUCAGAUCAAUGGGAAAAUUGCCCCUGGACAUCUGACCACGGGGGCCGUCCGCCGAGGGCAGGACUGAAGGCAAGACCGCGGGCGCUCAGAGGCCCCCGGGGCCACGGGCGCACUGCUACAAAUGUGAAACGCGUGUGUCAGUGCAGCUCCUGAACUGGAGUUAAUAACCGUUAGCUGGUGAAAUAAGUGAGACUGUUUUCCGGGUGCCUGGAGCAGUGGCUCCCCAGCCGUGGACGUCGGGGCCACAUAAAUGCCCUAAUCUGGAGAUUACAGACAACAAAGCGGUUUACGUCAUGCGAACGGUUCGAAAUGGCUUUUAAAAAAGCUCAGACUCUUCUUCAGCACGGACACAAACGAGCAGAUGAAGAUGUCAGAUGAUAAUUGGAUGCAGGCGGAGGACACCAUCUGCGCUACGUGUUAUCAUUUCUAUAUCUAGACGGGUAGCGAGGGCGGCCGCAGUGGCCUCCUCCACCCUGAAAAGAUUCUCGCCAACUCUACAGUAUACGUAUACAAAAAUACACAUAAGCGCAGCCAAACAUAAAUACUGAACACACAAGCUCCUGCUUUGAGUUGGCUGCAGAGACAGAGACCAUCUUUGUUGUUCCCCUCUGCCUGUGUGUGUGUGUGUGUGUGUGUGUGUGUGUGUUCAUACUAGUCUUUGAAGUGGUCAUAACGUUGCGUGUUAGUUUUGAUGCUUUAAUGAAUAGACGCUUUUCAUGUGACGCACUGGAAAAUGGAAACUAUGAUUCUCUCCCUUUCUCUUCCACUUGCUGUGUGUUCCUCUUUUACCCGCAGCUCUGCUCCUCAUCUGCACUUCAACCUUUGUGUUUAUCUGUUCCACUCAUCGUUGUAUUUUUGUUUUCAUUUUCUUAGGUUAUUUUAAUUAUUUCACUUGGAAUAUCAUCUCUUACACCUUCUUGUUCUCGCUCUCACUCACUUACACCUUCUCAUUGUUUGGUUCCACAUGUCAUUAUUAUCACAUUGCAUUUAUUCUAUUUUAUAUACUAGUGUGUGUUUGUCUCUGUCAGGGCCAGAUUCCAUUUUAAUACCAUACUUACAGUUAUUUACUUCUGUGUGGGUGUUUUUUUUCUAAUUAUCGCAGUGCAUAUUGUGCUCAUCUCAUAUUUGUGGGCGCAGGUCCUCAUCAGCUGCUCGCAAUGGUCGUAAUUUAUAUGAUUAGAAAGAAAGAAAAAUGGACAAUGAUACAUUUUUAUACUGUAGUCUAGCAAAAUGUAAAACUACAAAUCUUCACCAUAUUUUUUGGACACUUACUUCAGCUUGAUAUCUUAAACCAAUCCACAUGUUGUGAUGCACAGUGUUAAUCAACGCCUUUUCUCACUUUUCAUGAUUGUGUACCCGUUCAUUGGUUGUGGACCAUCUUUUAUAUAAAACGUUCAUAGCGGUUUGUGUUACAGAGUUUGUUUCAUGUCUCAAACCCCCAUAAAUAUAAAAACAAAAUCAUUUCAUCAGAACUGACUGCAGUGACCAGAGUGUGGGAGUAUAACAAACAUGUUGCUUUUCAUUAAAUUCAACCAAGACAUCUUGGCCUCAACUGUAUAUUACGUUUUAAUACAUGACUUUCAAAUACAUAGGCGUAUGUAUUUAUCUUGGUGUAUUUUGCAAAGGAAAGGGACAGGAGCUGUGGCCAAACCCCGCUGAACUAUGGCAACGGUCCGCUGAACAGACACUUUCUUGAACAGCCAGCCAGUUCCCAGACUUUCCACAGUUGUCAUAUUCCCAGAUCUGUGAGUGUGCAUGUAUGUGUAAAAGAAGAAAGACUGCCUGUGUGCUCCGAGUGUGUGUGUGUGUGUGUGUGUGUGUGUGUGUGUCAUUGCUCCCCCCUGUGUUAUGUGAUUAGAUUUGUCUCCUUUACCAUCAGGGUUGUUGUUUUUGUCUGUCAGCCAGUAUAUAAAAGCCUUUGGUUUUUGCGCACACAGACACACACACGAGUCGUCGACAUAAAAACGCACACGCAUUAAAGACCCUCAUGGCGCAGCAGUGCAUAGUCACGGAUUGCUGCCAAUAAUUCAUCUAUACUACAGUAUUACUCAUGUAGAACGCGCGCGCGCGCACGCACGCACGCACGCACGCGCGCACACACACACAC
ensembl:lncRNA